UGGCUACCAGCCGUGCUGCUACAGGAGCUGCCCCCAUGCGCGCACCUGGUCAGCUCACUCAGACCGGAGGUAAUAUCUGCGUGGCUUUUCAACAAUAGUGACUGACAACUGAGGAACACCAAGGGGCUGAAAAGUUACACCGUGGUGGCUUUAUUUCAGCUGGACAGGUCACCUGCAGUCUUCCAACACCCUGUGCUUCUCACCAGUAUACUGAUCGGACCACGCUGGCUGGCCUGGAUUACAACCACCGUGUCCACAGUCCAGCCAGGAGAAAAGCUGAUGACACAAUUCAGUACAGCAAGGUGUAUAACAAAAAGUCCAGGAAGUGGAGCUUGUACUCAUUGAAGGUGGAG